rnacentral:rRNA from 1 species
AUGUCUCAGAUAGCCAUGCAUGUCUCAGUAUAAGCUUCUAUACGGCGAAACUGCGAAUGGCUCAUUAAAACAGUUAUAGUUUAUUUGGUGGUCAGCAAUUACAUGGAUAACCGUGGUAAUUCUAGAGCUAAUACAUGCGCCCAAACCCGACUUCGUGGAAGGGUUGUGUUUAUUAGAUACAGAACCAACCCAGGCUCCGCCUGGCCUUGAGGUGAUUCAUAAUAACCGAACGAAUCGCAUGGCUAUGCCGGCGAUAGACCAUUCAAGUUUCUGACCUAUCAGCUAUCGUCGGUAGGGUAUUGGCCUACCGUGGCAAUGACGGGUAACGGAGAAUUAGGGUUCGAUUCCGGAGAGGGAGCCUGAGAAACGGCUACCACAUCUAAGGAAGGCAGCAGGCGCGCAAAUUACCCAAUCCUGACGCAGGGAGGUAGUGACAAGAAAUAACAAUACAGGGCAUACAUGUCUUGUAAUUGGAAUGAGUAAACUUUAAAUCACUUUAC